GCUGGGCGUGGUGGCUCACGCCUGUAAUCCCAGCACUUUGGGAGGCUGAGACUAGAGGAUCGCUUGAGCCCAGGAGUUCUAGACCAGCCUGGGCAACAAAGUGAGACCCUGUCUCGAU
ensembl:misc_RNA Metazoa_SRP Metazoan signal recognition particle RNA